AGUUCCUACGGGACGCAGCAGUAGGGAAUCCUCCACAAUGGACGAAAGUCUGAUGGAGCAACGCCGCGUGAGUGAAGAAGGGUUUCGGCUCGUAAAGCUCUGUUGGUAGUGAAGAAAGAUAGAGGUAGUAACUGGCCUUUAUUUGACGGUAAUUACUUAGAAAGUCACGGCUAACUACGUGCCAGCAGCCGCGGGAAUACGUAGGUGGCAAGCGUUGUCCGGAUUUAUUGGGCGUAAAGCGAG
rnacentral:rRNA from 1 species